GAGUUUGAUCCUGGCUCAGAACGAACGCUGGCGGCGUGGAUUAGGCAUGCAAGUCGUACGCGAAACGGUCCUUCGGGGCCGGAGUAGAGUGGCGAACUGGUGAGUACAAGGUGAAUAACGUGCCCCUGGGCGGGGGAGUAACUCCGCGAAAGCGGAGCUAAUACCGCAUGGUCUUUCUUAUUUAAAAGUGGGAAAGUAAAGCAGUGAUGCACCCAGGGAUCGGUUCACCCCCCAUUAGCUUGUUGGUGAGGUAACGGCUCACCAAGGCCGCGAUGGGUAGCUGGUCUGAGAGGAUGGUCAGCCACACUGGGACUGAGAUACGGCCCAGACUCCUACGGGGGGCAGCAGUCUAGAGGCUUUGACAAUGCCCGAAAGGGUGAUCAAGCGACGCCGCGUGCGGGAUGAAGGGCUUCGGCUUGUAAACCGCUUUUGUUUGGGACGAAGGCCUGCUUCGUGAAAGUGGGAUUGACGGUACCAGACGAAUAAGCCCCCGGCUAACUCCGUGCCAGCCGCCGCCGUAAG
rnacentral:rRNA from 1 species